UACAGAGGGGGCAAGCGUUAUUCGGAAUUAUUGGGCGUAAAGGGCGCGUAGGCGGCUUUGCAAGUGACGGGUGAAAUCCCACGGCUUAACCGUGGAACUGCCUGUCAGACUGCAUGGCUUGAGACCAGGAGAGGUGAGUGGAAUUCCCAGUGUAGCGGUGAAAUGCGUAGAUAUUGGGAGGAACACCAGUGGCGAAGGCGGCUCACUGGACUGGUACUGACGCUGAGGCUCGAAAGCGUGGGGAGCAAACAGG
rnacentral:rRNA from 1 species